ensembl:lncRNA
CUUGAUGGCACCUCAUCUCCGAGAACAUGGGACCUGUGAUAUCAUCCCCACCCCAUCCCCUGGAGCCUCGGCAUCCUGAGAACAGGCUCAGAGGCGUCCCACCCCACCUCCCAGAGCACGAUGUCGCUGUGACGUCAGGGCAUCCUCCCGCUGCCACAGUGAUGUCACACAGGCCUCGGGCAGGAGCGCAAGGGCUCCGCGAAGCCUGCAGCGGUAUCUCAUUUACGUCCUUCCAUGGCGUCACAGAGGGGCCACGCCUGGAGCAGUGACACUAUGCUUCCACACUUCCCGGUCCCGCCCCUCAAAUCCUGCCCAUAAAGGCGCCAAGAAUGGGUUGGUCCCCCAGCGACAGACUCUGCAGACUCGAAGGGUGCGCAGCUGCCCUUAGUGAAGGAGGAUGCCCGGAAGCCUCUGCCUUUGGGAUCCGGGUGGUUUGGAACAGUCGCCCUGCGCCAGGGUUUCAGGGAACCAACUGUCGCCCCGCCCACCUAGCCGGGUCCCUAUCCACCCGCCUCUCCGCCCACUACGCAGGCCCGGCGCGCAGGCGCAGCUGGAACUCAGCGCCUAGAGUCGUGGGGCGCGGGAGCGCCGCUUUCACGCGCAGUGUCAGGCGGCUGCUGAGAUACGUGCCCCACUUUCAGGGGUCACAAACUCCGGGUAACAGUGGCCCAGCGGACAUAUCCAGCCAUUGGUACAUGGGAGCACUAGAGAUGCCGACGAGGAAGAGGGCAUUUCUGGUUUAACGCUGGCUGGAGACUUUUGGAGUUCCUUUGGCGUUUCUCGAGUCCACCGCAGCCGAGUUCCUAAGGAAGUCCCGGGAUUCCAGACGGCAGCGCUGGUGCGGCCUGGCCCCGCUCUAGAUGAGAGAGUCCACUGCGUCCCUAGCCUUUUUGGGCCGGGUCUCUGAGGCAGAGUUCUGGAAGUUGGAAGCCUGCGAUUAGGCUGCCAGCAUGUGGACUGGUGAUCUUGAAGCCUUCCGGAAAACUUUGAAAGAAGCUUUUUUCUUUCUUUUUUUUUUUUUUCUGACUCCAUGGAGACAAAUAGAUUAAUCAGUUCACAGAUUAUGGUUAUCUUUGGUUGAGAGAGGAAGUCAGGAGACAAAUGUAAGUGCCCUGCUCACCACUCCUUUGAGGCAUAUGCUUAGGGAAGAAAAAAAAUCACCCUGGGGCAGACUGCGGUGUGGGUCAGGGGCCUAUGUAUGUGACAGGUGUCACUUAAUAAGAGUAGGGAUAUUUCACUCUGCAAACACCUCCCACUAUAGUCUUCUUCGGAUCUGUGCUUCCUUUGGUUUGUGUUGGAGUGUCCUAGCCUACAGAAAAGCUUGUCGCACAAUAGUAUUAUAGGGACACAUUUGCAGGAAUGUUUCUGUCACCCAGCCACCCAAGCCCUGGCCAUCUGCUGCGAUUUUUUUGAACAUUGUUUUAUUUGAAGUAUAGUUGAUUUACAAUGUUGUGUUAAGUUCGGCUGUAUGGCAAAGUGAUUCAGUUAUAUGUAUGUAUAUUAUCAUUAUUAAAAUCAUAUCAUUUUAAUAUUCUUUUAUUAUGGCCUAUCAUUGGAUACUGAAUAUAAUUCCCUGUGCUAUACAGUGGGACCUUGUUGUUUAUCCAUUCUGUUAACCCAACCUCCCACUCCAUCCCUCCUCCAACCCCCUCCCCCUUGGCAACCUCAAGUUUGCUCUUUAUGUCCCUGAGUCUGUUUCCAUUUCAUUUGUGUCAUAUUUUAGGUUUCACGUAUACAUGAUAUCACGAGGUAUUUGUCUUUCUCACUUACUUCACUUAGCAUGAUAAUAUCUAGUUGCAUUUACUGCUGCAAAUGGUAUUAUUUCAUUCUUUUUAUAAUGGUUGGGCAGUAUUCUGUUGUGUAUUUAUAUAUAUGCUGCAUCUUCUUUGUCCAUUCAUCUGUGCUUCCAUUCUCAGCCAUUUUUCCUGACCAGUGCUGGUUCCAGCUCCUGCAAUAAGAAUAUAAAAGGACAUAAAAGUGGGAUGGUUUGAGAUGGAUGAAAGAUCGGAUAAAUCAGUUGAGAGUAUUGUUUUUCCUUUCUAGACACUUCGCUGGCUCUUAGUAGCUCAGCCAUCUCUGGGGAGGGAUAAAGUGUAAUUAAUUUAUUUUUAAUGUUUGGUUUGAUUGAACUCUUCUGCUAGGGAGAUAAGAUAAGGAGUUUUGUCAUGACAAGUGCAAGGAUGGAUUGCUUUUUGUCAUUCGCAGGAGUGGGUACCACUUGGAGCCUAUAAGUAGAUGGUCGCAUGAGAUGAGAAACUUUGCAAGAGACGUGAAAGAAAACUAGAGGAGAUGAGGCAGGAAUGGCUAGAUCUUUGCCACUCCAAGAACCAGGGAGGGACAGUGAGCUUCCGGAGAAUAUGGGCCUUGUCUUGAAUGAUGAGAUGUGCUUGGGAGAUUGGUUCACUUCUUACUGACUUGGGUCGGGAACUGAGCGUCUUUGUGCAGAGUUCAGAGUGUCUGCAGUAUCUCACAGCGUAUGUAGCUCCUCCUGUAGGUCUGCAGUAAGCCAAGAACCAGCGCAGAUGUGGUGCCCUGGCUGUCAGGAGCAGUCUCCAUGGUCUUGUCAUGGCAGAGAUCAACUGGUAUUGAAAUUCUUGACCAGAUACUCUAAGGCAGAUCUGAUGGCUUACAGGGUUCCUGUCAAAAGAAGGAAGAGGAGGGAGAAGAAAAGGGGGGAGGGAAGAAAGCAGGAAGGAAGGAAGAUAGAAGAAAGCAAAAGCCUUCCUAGAAUUAAAAAAAAAACAAACCAAAAAACCAGUUCUUGCC